rnacentral:rRNA from 1 species
AUUGAACGCUGGCGGCAGGCCUAACACAUGCAAGUCGAGCGGAGCGGCGGACGGGUGAGUAAUGCCUAGGAAUCUGCCUGGUAGUGGGGGAUAACGUCCGGAAACGGGCGCUAAUACCGCAUACUCUAAGAUGAGCCUAGGGCGGAUUAGCUAGUUGGUGGGGUAAAGGACUACCAAGGCGACGAUCGGUAACUGGUCUGAGAGGAGGAUCAGUCACACUGGAACUGAGACACGGUCCAGACUCCUACGGGAGGCAGCGGUGGGGAAUCUUGGACAAUGGACAAAAGCCUGAUCCAGCCAUGCCGCGUGUGUGAAGAAGGUCUUCGGAUUGUAAAGCACUUUAAGUUGGGAGGCGUUACCAACAGAAUAAGCACCGGCUAACUUCGUGCCAGCCGCCGCGGUAAUUC